AGCGAGGCUAGAGUCACGCCUUGGCAUCAAUGUUGUCCUGGUGUGCUAGAGUUCUCGCAGAGUAAAUGUCUUUGCUUAUUCAUUGGCUGUGGUCUGUCUGUAGUAGUCCAGCCAAUCACCAACUCAGACACAUCA